rnacentral:rRNA from 1 species
CCUACGGGUGACAGCAGUGGGGAAUAUUGCACAAUGGGGGAAACCCUGAUGCAGCGACGCCGCGUGAGUGAAGAAGUAUUUCGGUACGUAAAGCUCUAUCAGCAGGGAAGAAAAUGACGGUACCUGACUAAGAAGCCCCGGCUAACUACGUGCCAGCAGCCGCGGUAAUACGUAGGGGGCACGCGUUAUCCGGAUUUACUGGGUGAAAAGGGAGCGUAGACGGCAGCGCAAGUCUGGAGUGAAAUCCCAUGGCUUAACCAUGGAACUGCUUUGGAAACUGUGCAGCUAGAGUGCAGGAGAGGUAAGCGGAAUUCCUGGUGUAGCGGUGAAAUGCGUAGAUAUUAGGAGGAACACCAGUGGCGAAGGCGGCUUACUGGACUGUAACUGACGUGGAGGCUCGAAAGCGUGGGGAGCAAACAGGAUUAGAUACCCUGUAGUC